GAUGAACGCUGGCGGCGUGCCUAAUACAUGCAAGUCGAGCGAACAGACGAGGAGCUUGCUCCUCUGACGUUAGCGGCGGACGGGUGAGUAACACGUGGAUAACCUACCUAUAAGACUGGGAUAACUUCGGGAAACCGGAGCUAAUACCGGAUAAUAUAUUUAAACGCAUGGUUCAAUAGUGAAAGACGGUAUUGCUGUCAUUUAUAGAUGGAUCCGCGCCGCAUUAGCUAGUGGGUAAGGUAACGGUUUACCAAGGCAACGAUGCGUAGCCGACCUGAGAGGGUGAUCGGCCCAGCUGGACCUGGGCCACGGUCCAGACUCCUCCGGGAGGAAGCGGUAGGGAAUCUUCCGCAAUGGGCGAAAGCCUGACGGGGCAACGCCGCGUGAGUGAUGAAGGUCUUCGGAUCGUAAAACUCUGUUGUUAGGGAAGAACAAAUGUGUAAGUAACUAUGCACGUCUUGACGGUACCUAAUCAGAAAGCCACGGCUAACUACGUG
rnacentral:rRNA from 1 species